GACGAACGCUGGCGGCGUGCUUAACACAUGCAAGUCGAACGGAAAGGCCCUGCUUGCAGGGUACUCGAGUGGCGAACGGGUGAGUAACACGUGGGUGAUCUGCCCUGCACUUCGGGAUAAGCCUGGGAAACUGGGUCUAAUACCGGAUAGGAGCCAUUUUUAGUGUGAUGGUUGGAAAGUUUUUUCGGUGUAGGAUGAGCUCGCGGCCUAUCAGCUUGUUGGUGGGGUAAUGGCCUACCAAGGCGGCGACGGGUAGCCGGCCUGAGAGGGUGGACGGCCACAGUGGGACUGAGAGACGGCCCAGACGACUACGGGAGGCAGGAGUGGGGAAUGUUGCACAAGGGGCGCAAGCCGGAUGCAGCGACGCCGCGGGGGGGAGGACGGCCUUCGGGUUGGAAAAGCCUUUCGCUAGGGACGAAGCUUUUUGUGACGGUAACUAGAAAAGAAGCACCGGCUAACUACGUG
rnacentral:rRNA from 1 species